rnacentral:tRNA from 1 species
GGGCAGUUGAUCCGAGCGGCAAAGGAGGCUGACUGUAAAUCAGCUGGCGUAUGCCUUCGGGGGUUCGAGUCCCUCACUGCCCA